AUUUCUCUGCCCCUUCACUCUCAAAAUCUGUUCUCCAGAAAGAGCUAGUCCGCCUAUUCACACUGAGUUCUAAUGACCUGACUUAAUCAAAGUAUUGUCAUUUCUAGGGAUGUUUGAAAAAUCCAAGCAUUGUAAUCUCUAAUUAUGCAACUAUAGGUAUCGGUAAGCGGUAACAAGGACACUUGUGGAGCUGAUAGCCAACUGUGACCAUGAAACAGCAGAAAGAGAUGGCUGGUUUCCCUGUACACAAGGGCAAAUACAGAUAGUCUCAUUAAUGGUCAGACCAAGAAUUUGACAAAGAUUCAUUCUUGUUGCAUUCUAUUAAGAGUAAAUAUUAUACAUCCAGUAAUCAGUGAACCAUGUCCACCAAGUGAUAAGAAGUUCUGGUUGUAGACUUUAACCCUAGGAUAGGAUUUAACACCAUCUGUUCUGUAUAACAUUUGGAACUAACUUCAUAAUUAUAAUAAACAUCUACAUUAGAAAUUCCUCUACCACCAAGCGCUAUGAGCGAAUUAUAAAUAAGAUUUUAUUUGCUCCAAAGAUGAGCAACUCAGGAUUCUUUGUUAUAGACCCUAAACCCAGAUAAAAAUUAAAAUCUCAAAAAAAAAGAAAAAAAAACAGAUGUCCCUAGAUAAAUGUUCCAGUAUACAACCAGUACAAACUGUCUGGCUAACUUUUUUUUUUUUUAUGAAAUCAGAUAUUCCAGAGCCACCUUUAUCACCAAACAUAAAAGCAUCCCACUGCAUACCUCAACAGAAUUGCCUGCAUAUCCUUAAUGUCUUUCCAAGCAAUUUUAUGCAGUCAGCACCCUAUACAUUAGGGAAGGAAUGGAUGUGUGCUCUAUGGGUUCUUAUAAUAGCAAUGAACCUUCAUAAUCAGACUCAUUCCUUAAUUUUGCUUACUUUUUCAUGCAGCUGCAUUAAUACUACAUUGUCAAAGACAAAGACGAACAUGAGACAUGAGAUAUGAGUUUUAAAAAAAAGAGAGAAGAGCAAAAAAACAAUACAGCUAUCCAAGGAGCAAGUGCUGAGCUUGUGUAAAAACAGCUCCUAUUUUAUUAAAUAAUAGUGUUCCUGCAGGGAUGUCUGAAGUACUCUGCAAGGCUAAUUAGGACAGAUCAAUGUACACUUACCUCUCCAGAAGGCUGAAAGAUACAGACUGAAAUGUUACCAGAUAAAAUGAUGUCAUGUCUGGGAUUCGCUUCAAAAUAAUUUGAGGUGGAAGUGGAAAGUGGAAACAACAAUUAUGAAACAACCUGGCCCAUGAGAUGAUAGCUGUUGAAGGUAGGUAUAGUUAUACAAAAUUUCAUUAUACUUUUCCCUCUACUUUUCUAAUAUAUUCUGAAUUUUCAUAACAAAAAGUUAAAUACACUUAAAAGUAGACAAAUACAUACUAAUUUGAGGUGGUGGUUAAGGACUCAGAAGUUACAGUCCAUGUGUCUGAAUGAAAGUAGUUUCUCAAACAUGCAGAUAUCAGAGAUUUGUGGGAUUCCUUCAAUGGAGAACCAUGUUUUCUCCACACAGAACACUGGUUUCUGAGCAAAAGUAGGCCCUCUUCCUGAAAACAGAUCUGACAAUAUGAAAGUGGUUGGCUACUUAACUGAAGAUACCAAAAGGAAAAAAAAAAAGGACACCAAAAAACUGGGUCUACAAAUGUGGUUGUUGGUUCUCCUUGUUUUUUUUUU
rnacentral:lncRNA from 1 species